GUCGACUUGGAGGUUGUGCCCUUGAGGCGUGGCUUCCGGAGCUAACGCGUUAAGUCGACCGCCUGGGGAGUACGGCCGCAAGGUUAAAACUCAAAUGAAUUGACGGGGGCCCGCACAAGCGGUGGAGCAUGUGGUUUAAUUCGAUGCAACGCGAAGAACCUUACCUACUCUUGACAUCCAGAGAACUUAGCAGAGAUGCUUUGGUGCCUUCGGGAACUCUGAGACAGGUGCUGCAUGGCUGUCGUCAGCUCGUGUUGUGAAAUGUUGGGUUAAGUCCCGCAACGAGCGCAACCCUUAUCCUUUGUUGCCAGCGGUUAGGCCGGGAACUCAAAGGAGACUGCCAGUGAUAAACUGGAGGAAGGUGGGGAUGACGUCAAGUCAUCAUGGCCCUUACGAGUAGGGCUACACACGUGCUACAAUGGCAUAUACAAAGAGAAGCGACCUCGCGAGAGCAAGCGGACCUCAUAAAGUAUGUCGUAGUCCGGAUUGGAGUCUGCAACUCGACUCCAUGAAGUCGGAAUCGCUAGUAAUCGUGGAUCAGAAUGCCACGGUGAAUACGUUCCCGGGCCUUGUACACACUAA
rnacentral:rRNA from 1 species